GGGCGGUUAGCUCAGCCGGUUCAGAGCACCUGCCUUACAAGCAGGGGGUCACUGGUUCGAAUCCAGUACCGCCCACCA
rnacentral:tRNA from 2 species